GUGUCAGCCGCCGCGGUAAUACGGAGGGUGCGAGCGUUAAUCGGAAUUACUGGGCGUAAAGCGUACGCAGGCGGUUUGUUAAGCGAGAUGUGAAAGCCCCGGGCUCAACCUGGGAACUGCAUUUCGAACUGGCAAACUAGAGUGUGAUAGAGGGUGGUAGAAUUUCAGGUGUAGCGGUGAAAUGCGUAGAGAUCUGAAGGAAUACCGGUGGCGAAGGCGGCCCCCUGGACAGAUACUGACACCGAGAUGCGAAAGCGUGGGGAGCAAACAGGAUUAGAAACCCCAAUAGUCC
rnacentral:rRNA from 1 species